rnacentral:rRNA from 1 species
UUUAACAAAAACAUGUCCUCUUGAGUAAAUUUUGAGGUCGGACCUGCCCACUGACAUAGUUGAAGGGCCGCGGUAUUUUGACCGUGCAAAGGUAGCAUAAUCAUUAGUCUUUUAAUUGAGGGCUGGAAUGAAUGGUUUGACGAAAUAUUAACUGUCUCUUUAUAAUAAGUGGAAUUUAACUUCUGAGUCAAAAGGCUUAGAUGAAUAUAAAAGACGAGAAGACCCUAUAGAUCUUUAUAUGAUUAAUGUGGUUACUUAUUUGGUUGUAUUGAUUAUAACCAUAGUAUUAUAUUUUGUUGGGGUGACAUGAAGAUAUAAAUAACUCUUUAUAAUGGAAACAUUGAUUUAUGAUUAAAUGAUCCGCUAUUAGUGAUUAUAAGAUAAAGUUACCUUAGGGAUAACAGCGUAAUUUUUUUUGAGAGUUCUUAUCGACAAGAAAGAUUGCGACCUCGA